rnacentral:rRNA from 1 species
GAUGAACGCUGGCGGCGUGCCUAAUACAUGCAAGUCGAGCGAACAGACGAGGAGCUUGCUCCUCUGACGUUAGCGGCGGACGGGUGAGUAACACGUGGAUAACCUACCUAUAAGACUGGGAUAACUUCGGGAAACCGGAGCUAAUACCGGAUAAUAUAUUGAACCGCAUGGUUCAAUAGUGAAAGACGGUUUUGCUGUCACUUAUAGAUGGAUCCGCGCCGCAUUAGCUAGUUGGUAAGGUAACGGCUUACCAAGGCAACGAUGCGUAGCCGACCUGAGAGGGUGAUCGGCCACACUGGAACUGAGACACGGUCCAGACUCCUACGGGAGGCAGCAGUAGGGAAUCUUCCGCAAUGGGCGAAAGCCUGACGGAGCAACGCCGCGUGAGUGAUGAAGGUCUUCGGAUCGUAAAACUCUGUUAUUAGGGAAGAACAAAUGUGUAAGUAACUAUGCACGUCUUGUCGGUACCUAAUCAGAAAGCCACGGCUAACUACGU